rnacentral:rRNA from 1 species
GACAGAGGUGCCGAGCGUUAGGCGGAAUCACUGGGCUUAAAGCGUGUGUAGGCGGGUCGUUAAGUGUCUUGUGAAAUCCCACGGCUCACCCGUGGAACUGCUGGGCAUACUGGGCGUCUUGGGCCAACUAGGGGCAGCCGGAACAAGCGGUGGAGCGGUGAAAUGCGUAGAUAUCGCUUGGAACGCCGAAGGUGAAAACAGGCUGCUGGGGUUGCGCCGACGCUGAGACACGAAAGCCAGGGGAGCAAACGGG